UACGGGGGAGCAAGCGUUGUUCGGAUUUACUGGGCGUAAAGGGCGCGUAGGCGGCCACCGCAAGUCGGUUGUGAAAUCUCCGGGCUUAACCCGGAAAGGUCAAUCGAUACUGCGGGGCUAGAGUGCAGAAGGGGCAACUGGAAUUCUCGGUGUAGCGGUGAAAUGCGCAGAUAUCAGGAGGAACACCGGUGGCGAAGGCGGGGUCUCUGGGCAAUAACUGACGCUGAGGAGCGAAAGCGUGGGGGAGCGAACAGG
rnacentral:rRNA from 1 species